GUUCCAGGUGUGUCUUAGUUUUGAAGCUUCACAGCAGCUGAGUAGUAGUGUGUGGUGAGCAUAACAAAUACCUAAAACUUUCAGGAAGGAGAAUCCUUCUCUCUGACCGUGGGAACUAUGGUCUGAAGAUGAACGCCAAUCGCAAGAUAAUUCAAAUAUUGAAAUUAUGAAACAAUGACUUCCAAAUCAGCUAUGAUAAUGUGAUCUACAAGCUAAGGUCUAAUAUCCUCAAAACAAAUGGAAAGACAGAACAUCUUAGCAGGGAAAUAAAAGAUUCAACUGGCUCAUGGUUCGUACCGGGGGAACCAGGCCCAUGGUUGGGAUCCAGGGGUCCCUCCAGUCUCCUGUUCCAUGGUCGCACACACCUUGAGGGCAUCCACACGGUUUGAUCGUCUCCUUAUAUUGCUGCUGGCAGACUCGUGACGGGGUUUGUCAUUCAUCUGGGUGUACAAGAAGCAUGGUGCCAGCAUCUGCUCAGCUUCUGAUGAGGGCUCUGGGAAGCUUUUACUCAUGGAGGAAGGCAAGGGGAACCAGCAUGUCACAUGAUGAUAAAGGAAGCAUGAGAGAGAGGUGCCAGACUCUUCAACAACCAGAAGAGAAAGUCAGAGAGAAUCAAAGCAUGUGAAGACAGACCUCAUGCAAGGAGGUCUAGGAGCCUAGAGUGAUCUUCAGCCAACAGUCAAAAAGAUAACUGGGACAACCACAAGGAACUGACUUCUAUAAGAGAAAUGAGCCUGGAAAAGGACUCCAAGCUUCAGAUGAAAAUGUAGUUGGCUGACACUUUGAUUUUAGUCUUGUGAAACCCUAAGCAGAGAAUCCAAGUAAGUCCCCCUGAACUUCUCACCUAAAGAACAAUGAGUUAAUAAAUAAGGGGUACGAUAAGUCAUGAAAUAUGUGGUAAUUUAUUACAAAACAAUAUAUAAUGAUACACAUACCUAUCUGGUAGCCAGAUAUUAUCCUAAGUAUUUUCCAUAUGACAUUUAAUUUGAUUUAAUUAACACAGCAACUCCAUAAGAGACAGAUCCUUUUAACUAUUUUGCAGGUGGUAAACUGAGGCUCAAGUAAUUUAUGUGAUUUGUCUAAGGUCCCAUAGGCUAUAAGUGGCAGAGCCCAGAUUGAGAAGUGUUUGGCUGUUCAUACAAGUGCAAGCAGCUUUCAUUAAACUAUUCUCAGAAUUCUGUCAGAAUAGCUAGCAAGGAUACCAACUAUCUAGGGAAAGUCACACCAAAGGAGUGACCCAAAGAAACACAUUUUAACCUGAACUGCCUGGUAAUACACUAAAGGCAAAUCAGCCCCAAAGACUAAAAUUGUUAAUUUUCUGUGAUUCCUCCCUGUUUUAUUUAAUAUAAUAUGACCUUAACCUAGUCUUGAUAUCUGAUUUCUGAACAAUGAGUCAAGAGAGUUGCCUUCUCUAUGUAGUAGUACUUUAUUGUUGUCAAAGACUUGUCCUUUGGUGCUUCAUAUUUUGCUUUACCUACAUGAAAUAUUGCUAAUUUAGGUGAUAGCCUAACUAUUUAUAGUUAAAUACACCCACCAAGUUCCCUUUACCCUUCAAAUUAACUAAAAAGAAACAACUUCCUACUUCUUACACCACAUAAAAUUCAUAUUUUGCUUUAAAUGUAAUUUUUCAGCAUAGAGCCUAGUGGAGUUCACUUAAAACUAACCAAAUCAGCUGUUAAAAUUGUUCAUUUGAUCACAUGGGUUAUAGGCAUAGUUAUUUGACUGAGUUAUGACAAUGCUCAGAAACAGAAAAGACAGUCAAAGGUUAUCAUGUAAGUCCAAUAAAAAUUCAACAGUUGUUUUUAAAGACUUUCAUAUGAUAAUAUUGUUUCACUUUCUAUUACCCAUAUUUGAUUUCAUUUACAAAUAAAAUACUACCCACUCU